rnacentral:rRNA from 1 species
AGGGGGUGUGAGAGCAUGGCCCCCCACAAUGGGACUGGAACACGGCCCAUACUCCUACGGGAGGCAGCAGCAGGGAAUAUUGCACAAUGGACGGAAGUCUGAUGCAGCGACGCCGCGUGGAUGAAGAAGGCCCUCGGGUUGUAAAAUCCUUUACAGGGGGAAGAGGAAGGACGGUACCCCUGGAACAAGUGUCGGCUAACUACGUGCCAGCAGCCGCGGUAAGACGUAGGACACAAGCGUUAUCCGGAUUUACUGGGCGUAAAGCGUCUGCAGGCGGACAGGUAAGUUGGGCGUGAAAGCUCCGGGCCCAACCCGGAGAGGUCGUUCAAUACUGCGUGUCUAGAGGGUGUCAGAGGGGAGUGGAAUUUCCGGAGUAGCGGUAAAAUGCGCAGAGAUCGGAAAGAACACCAAUGGCGAAGGCAGCUCCCUGGGGCAACCCUGACGCUAAGAGACGAAAGCUAGGGGAGCGAACAGGAUUAGAGACCCUGGUAGUCCUAGCCCUAAACGAUGGAUGCUGGAUGUGGGGCCAUAGCGCUCCGUGUCGAAGCGAACGCGUUAAGCAUCCCGCCUGGGGACUACGGCCGCAAGGUUAAAACUCAAACGAAUUGACGGGACCCCGCACAAGCAGCGGAGCGUGUGGUUUAAUUCGAUGCUACACGAAGAACCUUACCUGGGUUUGACAUCUAGGUGGUAGUGAAGCGAAAGCGGAGCGACCCUUCGGGGAGCCUAGACAGGUGCUGCAUGGCUGUCGUCAGCUCGUGCCGUGAGGUGUCGGGUUAAGUCCCGUAACGAGCGCAACCCUUGCCCUCCGUUAUACGUGUCAGAGGGGACUGCCGGCGGUAAGCCGGAGGAAGGUGGGGAUGACGUCAAGUCAGCAUGGCCUUUAUAUCCAGGGCUACACACACGCUACAAUGGCCAGUACAAAGGGCAGCGAAGCCGCGAGGUGGAGCGAAUCCCAGCAAAGCUGGUCGUAGUUCGGAUUGCAGGCUGCAACCCGCCUGCAUGAAGCUGGAGUU